rnacentral:rRNA from 1 species
UACGAGAGGCCCAAACGUUGUUCGGAAUCACUGGGCGUAAAGGGCGUGUAGGCGGUUCGGUAAGUGAGAUGUGAAAUCCUCCGGCUCACCCGGAGACCUGCAUCUCAAACUGCCGGACUAGAGUAUGGGAGAGGACAAGGGAAUUCCUGGUGUAGCGGUGAAAUGCGUAGAUAUCGAGGAGGAACACCGGUGGCGAAAGCGCUUGUCUGGCCCAAUACUGACGCUGAGGCGCGAAAGCUAGGGGAGCAAACGGG